rnacentral:rRNA from 1 species
UACGUAGGCAGCGAGCGUUGUUCGGAGUUACUGGGCGUAAAGAGUGCGUAGGCGGUUUUUCUAAGUUUGGUGUGAAAUCUCCCGGCUUAACUGGGAGGGUGCGCCGAAGACUGGAAGGCUUGAGUAUGGGAGAGGUAAGCGGAAUUCCUGGUGUAGCGGUGAAAUGCGUAGAUAUCAGGAGGAACACCUGUGGCGAAAGCGGCGCACUGGACCAUAACUGACGCUGAGGCGCGAAAGCUAGGGGAGCAAACAGG